AUGGAUCGAGGUUGGAUGAGUAAACCAAGAUCAACUACUGAUUAUAAAGAAGGUGUCGAGCAAUUUCUAUCUUUUGCCUUCCAUGAUGUUCCACUCGGUGAUAAAAUUCUCUGUCCCUGUGUAAAUUGUGGAAAUAAGGCAACGCAGAAUUACGACGAAGUGAAAACCCACCUAAGAUGUGAUGGUAUUCUUCAGGGUUAUACAAAAUGGGUUUGCCAUGGAGAAGAGUAUGAUUCACCGUCAUUUGCAUUUGCUCCCAUGUCAAAUAACAACAACAAUUUUCAUAUUCCGGGUUUUCCAGUGAAUUCUGAUGUAGAAGGCAGUAAUAGAAGAUUGCAUGACAUUUCUGGGCUCUUAAGUGCCAUUUUCCCCAUGGCUGACAGCUUCCAAUCACUAUCAAGCGCAUCUGAUGGGGAACUAGAUGGUGUUUAG
rnacentral:rRNA from 1 species